rnacentral:rRNA from 1 species
AUACGGAGGGGCCUGACGUUGUUCGGAAUCAUUGGGCGUAAAGGGCGCGCAGGCGGCCGUCCAAGUCCGGUGUUAAAUGGUCGGGCUCAACCCGAUCAUGCGCUGGAAACUGGGCGGCUUGAGUCCCGUAGGGGAUGCCGGAAUUCCAGGUGUAGGGGUGAAAUCUGUAGAUAUCUGGAAGAACACCGAUGGCGAAGGCAGGCAUCUGGCCGGAGACUGACGCUGAGGCGCGAAGGCGCGGGGAGCGAACAGGUUUAGAUACCCUGGUAGUCCGCGCAGUAAACGAUGCGCAGCAGGUGUCGGGCGGCAGCGCCCGGUACCGGAGCUAACGCGAUGAGUGCGCCGCCUGGGGAGUAUGCCCGCAAGGGUGAAACUCAAAGGAAUUGACGGGG